UACGUAGGGGGCAAGCGUUGUUCGGAAUUACUGGGCGUAAAGGGCGCGUAGGCGGCCCGGCCAGUCGGGUGUGAAAGCCCGGGGCUCAACCCCGGAGGGUCUCUCGAUACUGUCGAGCUAGAGUGCGGAAGGGGCAACCGGAAUUCUCAGUGUAGCGGUGAAAUGCGUAGAUAUUGCUCGGAAGGCCAGAGGCGAAGGCGGGUAACUGGCACGCAACUGACACUGAGGCACGAAAGCGUGGGGAGCAAACAGG
rnacentral:rRNA from 1 species